UGCUUCUGGCUGCCCGUAUUCAGACGUGAACUUGAAAAAGGAGGCAGCUCUUCGUGAUCAUCUGAGACAACAAACACAGGCAAAUCUGCAAUUAGUCUUCACAUUCAAACUCCAAAGACCUCUGUGCUUUGAACUUCAGUGGAAAACGUGGAAAGCUGAACAGUCAGUCCAGCUGCUCACUACUGAAGUUUGAGCCCUCUUUCUGUUGUUAAUAUUCUUUCCUACAAGAACAUUAGGAAGCGGAGACCUCUAGAGUUUGAAGACGCACUCUGGCUCACAAACCUAGGGCACUGGUACUCAGACUCGGACCCAGGUCUGCCGGCACUGAGCAUAUUGGCGCCACAGGUGACUAAACAUCCGGAAGUAGGAUGCUCCACAGUAGCUGCAGAGGACCUCCUUUUAAGAGAUUGAAACAGUACUGCGUGCCCAACCUCCAGGCUCACCAGUGAGGGUGAAAUGAGAGCGCUCCCGUCCAAGUGCCAUCAGAAACUAUAUUUGCAAAGCAAGCAGAUCAGGUGUUUGACAAUCAAAGGAGAAGAAGCUACGGACUUGGAUAAUCUCUUCAGAGAAAAAACCUAAACCCGUCAAAGUGAAAGCCUAAGUGGUAGAACCUCUCCCAGCCGUCUGCGUGGAGGGAACCAGAACCGUCUCUUUGCAUUUUUCCCUAGUAGGUCUGUAUGUGCGCACCCCCCAGAACGCAGUAGGAUACCUGUUUAUCUUCUGGAGGAGGAGAAAAUUAGUGAGUAUUCUGCUGACUUGGCCAAAACUGCAACCAAUUAGCACAGUUUGGCAGCACUGCGCGUCCUCUGUAGUACGAUUGCCCGUUCACCUUUCUUAAGGAAGAAGAGGCAUCGAGCAAAAGGCUGUAACUUCUAGGAGCACAG
rnacentral:lncRNA from 1 species